UCCUUUAAUCUCAUUUGUGUUGCCUGCAACCCCUCCAGAAGAGCUAGCUCCUGCGCCUGGCGGCACUAAUCGUCCAUGAUUGUUCUCCACGUCCUCCUCCUCCAUUAAUGAAGCAGUGAUUUCAUUAAUCUUAACCCAAUCUUCCCUUUCUAGUUGUUGCACUAGAUCUGUUCUUUGUGCUGCUUCCCCUGUAUUAUCUUGUGCAUCAAUUAUAAGUCUCCUGGAUUGCUGACUAGAUCCAUCACCAGUGUUUUCCAUGCCAUUU
rnacentral:lncRNA from 1 species